GCAAAUCCCCCAUUGAUGGCUUUCAUGUCCAUUAUAUUCCGGAUACUUGAUCAGUCGAUACCAAUUCCGGUCAGAUAAGACUUUUCAACUAUAGCUUUCCAAUGAUUGGUGUAUUGGUGUCAUCAAUCAAUUUUUCUUUAUUGUUCAUCCAGUCUGGAUAAGUUUCUAGCCUCUUGGGCCAUUCUUCAGGCCAAUCUGUCCCAUGCUGUUCAAUUGAAGAUGGGAUAGUGUCCAAGCAACUCUUCAUAGGAACAUACCAGGCUGCAUCAGGAUUUUCAUUUUCCUUGCACAGAGGUGGAAUUUUCUUUCUUCUCAACUCAUAUAUGUCAUUUGACUCAGGCUUCUGAUAUAUUUUAACACCCACUUCAUUUACUUCAUCAGUUUUAUGAGCUAAAAUAUUCCAACAGAUAGAUGCUGUCAAGGUGGUCAUGGCUUCUUCC
rnacentral:misc_RNA from 1 species